UACGGGGGGAGCAAGCGUUGUUCGGAUUUACUGGGCGUAAAGGGCUCGUAGGCGGUCUGUUGCGUCGGGAGUGAAAACUCAGGGCUUAACCCUGAGCCUGCUUCCGAUACGGGCAGACUAGAGGUAUGCAGGGGAGAACGGAAUUCCUGGUGUAGCGGUGAAAUGCGCAGAUAUCAGGAGGAACACCGGUGGCGAAGGCGGUUCUCUGGGCAUUACCUGACGCUGAGGAGCGAAAGUGUGGGGAGCGAACAGG
rnacentral:rRNA from 1 species